GAAGAAGAAGAAGAAGAAGAAGAAGAAGAAGAAGAAGAAGAAAGAAGAAAAUCUGGUAUAGAUCUAAGGUGCCCGUUUCCUUCCCCCUGCCCAUGGACUCUAACUGAAAUGGAGGUCCUCUGCACAGUAGAUGAAGAACUAAUCCCACUUGAUGAAUAGAGUGGACAACCCCUUGGUGACACACUGCACACAGGAGAUAUAGACCAAUGGCCACUUGGCAGGCUCAAAGCUACCCGAAGAAGCAUCCAGCUUGCAGACAGUCCACUCGGAAAGCCAGAUUGCCAGCUGCUUCCAGGAAACGCCCAGCUCCUGACUGGCUCGCCCACCCUAUGUGACCUGUUCAGCCUACCUCAUUG